rnacentral:tRNA from 1 species
GGAAAGGUGCAAGAGCGGUUGAAUUGGCUACAUUGGAAAUGUAGUGAACUCGAAAGGGUUCCGUGGGUUCGAAUCCCACCCUUUCCGCCA